GACGAACGCUGGCGGUGUGCUUAACACAUGCAAGUCGAACGGUAAGGCCCUUUCGGGGGUACACGAGUGGCGGACGGGUGAGUAACACGUGAGUAACCUGCCCUCAUCUCUGGGAUAACAGUCGGAAACGGUUGCUAAUACUGGAUAUGAGCUUGCAAGGCAUCUUGUGGGUUGGAAAGAUUUUUUUUGGUUGGGGAUGGACUCGCGGCCUAUCAGCUUGUUGGUGAGGUAGUGGCUCACCAAGGCUUCGACGGGUAGCCGGCCUGAGAGGGCGACCGGCCACAUUGGGACUGAGAUACGGCCCAAACUCCUACGGGAGGCAGCAGUGGGGAAUAUUGCACAAUGGACGGAAGUCUGAUGCAGCAACGCCGCGUGCGGGAUGACGGCCUUCGGGUUGUAAACCGCUUUCAAUUGUGACGAAGCUUUUUUGUGACGGUAGCAGUAGAAGAAGCACCGGCUAGCUACGUG
rnacentral:rRNA from 1 species